AUUGAACGCUGGCGGCAGGCCUAACACAUGCAAGUCGAGCGGGGUUUUCGGACCUAGCGGCGGACGGGUGAGUAAUGCGUAGGAAGCUACCCGAUAGAGGGGGAUACCAGUUGGAAACGACUGUUAAUACCGCAUAAUGUCUACGGACCAAAGUGUGGGACCUUCGGGCCACAUGCUAUCGGAUGCGCCUACGUGGGAUUAGCUAGUUGGUGGGGUAAUGGCUCACCAAGGCGACGCUCCCUAGUUGGUUUGAGAGGAUGAUCAGCCACACUGGAACUGAGACACGGUCCAGACUCCUACGGGAGGCAGCAGUGGGGAAUAUUGGACAAUGGGCGCAAGCCUGAUCCAGCCAUGCCGCGUGUGUGAAGAAGGCCUUCGGGUUGUAAAGCACUUUCAGUAGGGAGGAAGGGUGUUGUGUUAAUAGCACAGCAUUUUGACGUUACCUACAGAAGAAGCAUCGGCUAACUCUGUGCCAGCCGCCGCGGUAAGAC
rnacentral:rRNA from 1 species